rnacentral:rRNA from 1 species
GAUGAACGCUGGCGGCGUGCUUAACACAUGCAAGUCGAACGGAAAGGCCCAAGCUUGCUUGGGUACUCGAGUGGCGAACGGGUGAGUAACACGUGGGUGAUCUGCCCUGCACUUCGGGAUAAGCCUGGGAAACUGGGUCUAAUACCGGAUAGGACCACAUUUUGGAUGGUGUGGUGGAAAGUUUUUCGGUGUGGGAUGAGCUCGCGGCCUAUCAGCUUGUUGGUGGGGUAAUGGCCUACCAAGGCGUCGACGGGUAGCCGGCCUGAGAGGGUGUACGGCCACAUUGGGACUGAGAUACGGCCCAGACUCCUACGGGAGGCAGCAGUGGGGAAUAUUGCACAAUGGGCGCAAGCCUGAUGCAGCGACGCCGCGUGGGGGAUGACGACCUUCGGGUUGUAAACUCCUUUCGCUAGGGACGAAGCGUUAUGUGACGGUACCUGGAGAAGAAGCACCGGCUAACUACGUG